ACAGUCGUCUAAGACAAAAUUAAGAAGAAUCUGAGGUAACCACCGAAAUGGCAGGCGGUGGAGGCGGCGUGGGCGGAAGGUUCGUCUCCUGCAUGAAGGCCGAAGUUUGUGUCAUGGUCACGCUCAGCGGAUCCAUAUUGCUGUCGCUGUUCAAGCGGUCAAAUGCAUCAAAUCCUGGAAAAUACAAAUAAACCAAAAUCAAACUUA